rnacentral:rRNA from 1 species
CAGUAGCCACGGGAAUACGGAGGGUGCAAGCGUUAAUCGGAAUUACUGGGCGUAAAGCGCACGCAGGCGGUCUGACAAGUCAGAUGUGAAAUCCCCGGGCUUAACCCGGGAACUGCAUUUGUGACUGGCGAGCUAGAGUAUGGCAGAGGGGGGUGGAAUUCCACGUGUAGCAGUGAAAUGCGUAGAGAUGUGGAGGAACACCGAUGGCGAAGGCAGCCCCCUGGGCCAAUACUGACGCUCAUGCACGAAAGCGUGGGGAGCAAACAGGAUUAGAUACCCCAGUAGUCCCUGUCUCUUAUAA